rnacentral:tRNA from 1 species
GGGCUCGUAGCUCAGUUGGUUAGAGCGCGUCGCUGAUAACGACGAGGUCGCAAGUUCGAAUCUUGCCGGGCCCA